rnacentral:lncRNA from 1 species
GUGGCCUUUAGCGAGUGUGAGAGAAUGGUUACCAAAGCUCUCUUCUUCUUUGCUUUAUUAUCUUUUUCAGCUGUUUCUCUCAGGACAGCUUUUGCAGAAGAUGAGAAAGAUCCAGGUCUUGUUGUGAACUUCUACAAGGACACGUGCCCUCAAGCUGAAGACAUUAUCAGAGAACAAGUUAAGCUUCUGUACAAGAGACACAAGAACACUGCAUUUUCAUGGCUAAGAAACAUCUUCCAUGACUGCGGUGUUCAGGUAAUAAACUCUCUUUAUCUCUUCUUCUCUCUUAAGAUUUUUUUUUUUAUCUCUUGAUGUGUUUUUUUUGUUUUUUUUGUCGGGUAGUCAUGCGAUGCUUCCUUGCUGCUGGAUUCAACCAGGAGGACCUUGUCUGAAAAGGAAACAGACAGGAGCUUUGGCCUGAGGAACUUCAGGUACCUUGAAACGAUCAAAGAAGCUCUAGAAAGGGAGUGUCCUGGAGUUGUUUCCUGUGCAGACAUCCUUGUACUAUCUGCUAGAGAUGGCAUUGUUGCGGUAUUUCUCUCGUCCUUUUGUGACGAAGUUUUAUUGGGAAAAAAAUCGCCACUAGAAAGUGCAUGUUCGCCACUAAAACUUUUAGCCUGGCAACUGCUAAAUGUUUCAGUGGCAAUUUUUAUCUAUGGCCACUAAAACUCUAAUUUCUUUUGGUUUUUUGGCCUUGUCGUUCUGUU